GUGAGGAAUAUUGGACAAUGGGCGCAAGCCUGAUCCAGCCAUGCCGCGUGCAGGAAGACGCAUCUAUGGUGUGUAAACUGCUUUUGUACGGGAAGAAACACUCCCUCGUGAGGGAGCUUGACGGUACCGUAAGAAUAAGGAUCGGCUAACUCCGUGCCAGCAGCCGCGGUAAUACGGAGGAUCCAAGCGUUAUCCGGAAUCAUUGGGUUUAAAGGGUCCGUAGGCGGUUUAAUAAGUCAGUGAUGAAAGCCCAUCGCUCAACGAUGGAACGGCCAUUGAUACUGUUAGACUUGAAUUACAAGGAAGUAACUAGAAUAUGUAGUGUAGCGGUGAAAUGCUUAGAUAUUACAUGGAAUACCAAUUGCGAAGGCAGGUUACUACUUGUGGAUUGACGCUGAUGGACGAAAGCGUGGGGAGCGAACAGGAUUAGAAACCCGGGUAGUCC
rnacentral:rRNA from 1 species